GACGAACGCUGGCGGCGUGCCUAAUACAUGCAAGUUGAGCGCUGAAGGUUGGUACUUGUACCGACUGGAUGAGCAGCGAACGGGUGAGUAACGCGUGGGGAAUCUGCCUUUGAGCGGGGGACAACAUUUGGAAACGAAUGCUAAUACCGCAUAAAAACUUUAAACACAAGUUUUAAGUUUGAAAGAUGCAAUUGCAUCACUCAAAGAUGAUCCCGCGUUGUAUUAGCUAGUUGGUGAGGUAAAGGCUCACCAAGGCGAUGAUACAUAGCCGACCUGAGAGGGGGAUCGGCCACAUUGGGACUGAGACCCGGCCCAAACUCCUACGGGAGGCAGCAGUAGGGAAUCUUCGGCAAUGGACGAAAGUCUGACCGAGGAACGCCGCGUGAGUGAAGAAGGGUUUCGGAUCGUAAAACUCUGUUGGUAGAGAAGAACGUUGGUGAGAGUGGAAAGCUCAUCAAGUGACGGUAACUACCCAGAAAGGGACGGCUAACUACGUG
rnacentral:rRNA from 1 species